GAGUUGGGGGAGAGGACCAGAACCACCUGCUGGAGAAGGGGAGCUACGGGGGCCGGGCAGGGUCCAAACGCCUCACGUAGGCGGCGGCGCCACGGUCUUCGGGGUCACAGGGAAGAGAAGGGCUCUCCUCAAGCGGGUGGAAGGAGGGAGGCCUCCCGAGGGAGUGAGACUCUAGGCCACUCCCCCGCAGCAAGGCAGGAUCACCUGCGACGCGGAGAGCGGUUAGAGGGCCCUGGAGUGGAAAAGGGCAGUGGGACCUGGUAGCUUGGGUUCCCUGCAACUUGGGGUUCGACCUCCAGGCAAUGAAGUAGGGAUGGUCCUGCAAGUCAAGAUUCCAGUAGCAAGAGUGCAUCAGAUCUCUGUAAGGAAAAUAACUAACAUUGCUCAGUUCCCUGUAGAGUUGCAGGGCGCUUUAACGUUAUCUCCCUUGGUUCUCCAUCAGGUCGUAGUGGACUAAUUUUACAGGCGAAGUUAAGUGACUUACCCAAAACCUCACAGCUAAUAAACGGCAGAGCCGGCACCCAGCUGUACUGGCUUCCAAUUCUGUUAGCUUACCAGCGCAUCACAUUAUCUCCAUAAAUCCCCAUGAUUCAACUAAUAUUAGACGCCCCACAGAGUCUCGCUACUCAAAACGUGGUCAGUGGCCCAGCAGCACUGACAUGAGGAUGUUAGUUAGAAACUCAGAAUCUCAGGCUCCACCCCAGACCUGCUGAACCAGCAUCUUCAACUUAACAAGAACCCGAAGAGAUUUGUGUCACAUCAAAAAGUUUGAGAAGCUCUGAUCUAGGGCUGGAAGGAGUGUUGCUCAACAAUAUCCAAAACCACAGAGGUUGAAAAGCACAAGGAAAGAAGGUAUGUUUGCACUUUGUGAUUAGGUAGUAGGGUCUUUGAGACCACAUUGUUCUUAUUGAAAGCCUGGGAAGAAAGAUCCCCUUUCUGGUCAAGUUUAGUCUAGGGAUCCAUCCCAUCUUCCCCAGUUCCCACGUGUAUGGGACAUGUCGAGAUAAGUAGAUAGAUUGGACAGUGGGAGAAAGUAGUUCUCUUCCAGUUGCUUCUAUUUUCUCAGCAAAGUGAGGAGCAAGAUCAUUUUGGCAGACUGCUAAUUGUCCAUCACAAUUUAGUCUCCCUUUCUCCCUGAAAACACAGACUGCUUUUCUCAGCCUCUCUUUCAGUUGCAUAUGGUCAAGUAUUAAGUUAUAGAACGUGAGCAGAUGUUAUGUCUGCCACUGUCAGGCCAAGGCGUUUACUUUGAGAGUACUUGUGCCUCUUUCAUGCAUUUUCCUUUCUGCCAGCUGGACCCUGGACACGGUGACUCUGAUUCAAUUAUGCAGAUGACCACAAACCUCUGGGGUUGGCAGAGCCACAAGAAAGAAGGUGCCUGGAUGAAGGAGAGCUACCCACUGACCUGGACACCCAAUUAUAGGAUAGACAGUGAAGUGCAACUACAGCCCGCAAAUGAAAAUGAAUAAUAUUAAUCCAGCCCCUCAAGGCAGGCGAGUAGCUGCUGUCAUCUGUCUUAGAGCUAUUGGAAUCCUGGAUCAUUGUGGGAAAUGAAAGGAACUGGUUUUUAGCAAGGAGACCAAGAAACUCUACUCCCUAGGGGCUAGCAAUGAGAGAAAGGAAGCCUUAAGUCUUUGAGCACAGGGUGACAGUUUGGGUCCUAUGUGAGAUGAUCAAAUCCACAGCAACAGAGGAAAGGACAAAAGGAAAAGGUCUGUAGCAGCACUACAUCAGAAAAAAAUGGAUUCAGCAAGGAAGUGGGUGACUCUGAGUAAGCAUCCAUGUCAGGAUGGUUUUGCUACAGCCCCCAACAAAACAUUAAUUAGUUUAAGAAACUCAACUUCGGUUUACAAGUGUUUUGGAAAAGUAACAAAGAACAACAUAAGUAACAAAAUAAUUCCUCAGGUCAUUACAAUGGAUGUUUCCUAUAACUGAAAAAUAUGGUUAAAAAGUACAAACUACAUUUGGUGUGCAAACUGUUUAGUUCUUAAUUCCAAACUAAAUUGUACAUUAUAUAGUAAAAUUUUGACCAGAAAAACUUGGAGAUUUUAGUAAAAAUUUCAUUGACAUAUUUACAGCCCCAGUGUAGUUUGGCCGGUGUGCAAAGCCUGACUAAGGAGGUUAUAGAAAAAAAUAUCAGACUUAAGCCCAUCAAAUCAUUAAAGAUGCUUUGGCAAGACUUCAAGCUUUACAGACAUACUCCAUGUGACCAGAGAUGUCAUAACCAGUGUUCUUUCUCUUGAAAUGUUAGAAUGCUUUAGUUUUAUUCUAUAAUUUCCGUGUUCCAUGGAACAGCAUUCAUUUCUCCCAGUUUUAGUAACAUAAUGAGAGAUAUAUUGAGUGUAUAGAGCAGGAAAGACAUGAAAACUUAUAUUGCAUAAUAUUAGCAAACAUAAAAGAUAGCAUUAUAAAUUUUUAAAAAUCCAAAAAAAUUCCAGAAACAGAACAGUGAGCAUGUUUAAAAAGUCAGGACUGACCGUUUCUGUGAGUUCUGAGGACUGUAAAUGAGCCUCAAUCCAUAAAGCUGAGAGGUUGUCUUAGCCCACAUAUGCAGCAGGUGACUCCCUCUGACAAAAGCAAGAUUUAGCUGGAUCUUUUAAAAAAAAAA
rnacentral:lncRNA from 1 species